rnacentral:rRNA from 1 species
UGGGGAAUAUUGGACAAUGGGCGAAAGCCUGAUCCAGCCAUGCCGCGUGUGUGAAGAAGGUCUUCGGACUGUAAAGCACUUUAAGUUGGGAGGAAGGGCAGUAAGCGAAUACCUUGCUGUUUUGACGUUACCGACAGAAUAAGCACCGGCUAACUCUGUGCCAGCAGCCGCGGUAAUACAGAGGGUGCAAGCGUUAAUCGGAAUUACUGGGCGUAAAGCGCGCGUAGGUGGUUCGUUAAGUUGAAUGUGAAAGCCCCGGGCUCAACCUGGAAACAGCAUCCAAAACUGGCGAGCUAGAGUAGGGCAGAGGGUGGUGGAAUUUCCUGUGUAGCGGUGAAAUGCGUAGAUAUAGGAAGGAACACCAGUGGCGAAGGCGACCACCUGGGCUCAUACUGACACUGAGGUGCGAAAGCGUGGGGAGCAAACAGG